AUGGGGAGGGACGGCGAGGCCUCCGAGCCUGGGAAUGCAAGUGAGCAGAGCCCAUGCCCUCUGUCCCCAGGCGCUGGAGGGGUGACCAGGCAGGUGCCCGCGGCUGGGCCCCCAGGGACACUGGGGAGCAGUCACAGAACAACAGCUAUGGAAACAGCAACACGGAUGGGGACGGGCCCCAAGGAGCCGGGUCCUCACGCUGGCUCCCUGCGCCCGGGCCGCGCGGCCACGCAGUCCUCGCCUCUGCUCCGUGCGCUCCGACUUAUUUCAAGCUUUGACCUAAUUUCAUACGUUGUUUCCGAAGUGAGUUCUGCAGAAACGGGCCUUCUCAGCAACGCGGUUCCGAUCAGCAGGGCGUGUCUCCGCACCCACGCGCCGCGGGGCUCCCUUAUAGACGCGGUGGGGGGGAGGCGGGUGCAGGGGGUCCAGGUGCAGGGGGGGCUGGUGCAGGGAGGGCCAGUGCAGGGGGUCCGGGUGCAGGGGGCAUGGGUGCAGGGGGGCCUGGUGCAGGAUGUGCAGGUGCAGGGGGUCCAGGUGCAGGGGAUCCAGGUGCAGGGGGCGUGGGUGCAGGGGGUCCAGGUGCAGGGGGCGCGGGUGCAGGGGGUCUGGGUGCAGGGGGCACAGGUGCAGGGGACGCCGCAAAGACACGUGCUGAGCUCUGAACCAGCGGCCGCGCAACCACACUCCCCACCCAGAAUCCCCCCCAGCCCAGGCACUACCCCGACCCCCAGGUGACCCCGGGCCCUGGGGUGGCGCGCCCCCUGGGAUGCAGGCAUCCUUCCCGUUUGCUGGCAUUCUGGACACGUCUCAUCAGCGACGCCGAGGACGCCUGUGCCAUCCUGCUCCCUCCGCCUCCAAAGCACAGCCAGAGCCGCAGGCUCCUCAGGCGUCCACUGCCUCGUCCGGGCCUCGUCCACUGGGGGUCGGGGUCACGAGGAUCGUGACACAACGGUGAGCCGCUCGCUUGCCCAGCACCCACCAGCGGCUCCCACCUUUCUCAGAGCAAAGGAUCUCCAAGCCGUGACCCGCCAGCCCGCAGGCCUCGGACCCCGGGCUCUCUGCACCUGCUGCCCCAGGGCCGGGGCCACCAACCUCCUGUGUCCACCCCGCGGGGCUGCCCUGGCCACCGCUCUCCACCGCCCGUCACUCCCCUCCCCGGCCCCCCCACGCCGCCUGCGGUUCCCUCUGCCGCCGGAGGGCCUGUGUCACCAAGGUGGGGACGCUGCCCCCCCCCGCCCCCCGUCGUCCCGCUCGCCAGGACCAGGACCGGGACCAGCAGGGACAGGGCCCUGCCCCUUGCUUCCCCACCACUGCCCGGGGCACCGCAGGCCACCAGGAGCUGCUGCGUGUCCCAGCAGUCGGGCCGGGGCUCCCCAGCCUCCUGCACACGCGCACGCACACAUGGGGCUGGAAACGGGGGUGCAAGGGGACGACAGUCGGAUCCGUUGUUUCAAAAUUCAUGAAAACCAAAAAAAACAAACACAAAAAAUUCAUGAAAACCUAUGCUCCUGAGGCAGCGGGCGGGCAUGGGGGGGGCAGGCCCUGCGGUCGGGCGUCUGCCCACGGGGACACCCCCCCGCAGCAGCGCCCCCAGGCCCCGGCCCAGCUGGGCACCGCGUGUCGCAGCCCCACACACCUCGCUGGGUGUGGCCCAUCUCCCGGGUCAGGAAGGGGAGUCCACGUGGUGGGGGUUGGGCCAGCCCCGGGGACGGGAGGGGCAGUGGGAUCCUUAGUU
rnacentral:lncRNA from 12 species